rnacentral:tRNA from 1 species
ACCAUUGUCGUCCAGUGGUUUAGGAUGCCAGGUUUUCAAAUAUCUACGUUGAUUCCCUGGAGACCGGGGUUCGAACCCCCGCAAUGGUA